GCAGUCGUACGCUUCUUUUUCCACCGGAGCUUGCUCCACCGGAAAAAGAAGAGUGGCGAACGGGUGAGUAACACGUGGGUAACCUGCCCAUCAGAAGGGGAUAACACUUGGAAACAGGUGCUAAUACCGUAUAACAAUCGAAACCGCAUGGUUUUGAUUUGAAAGGCGCUUUCGGGUGUCGCUGAUGGAUGGACCCGCGGUGCAUUAGCUAGUUGGUGAGGUAACGGCUCACCAAGGCCACGAUGCAUAGCCGACCUGAGAGGGUGAUCGGCCACAUUGGGACUGAGACACGGCCCAAACUCCUACGGGAGGCAGCAGUAGGGAAUCUUCGGCAAUGGACGAAAGUCUGACCGAGCAACGCCGCGUGAGUGAAGAAGGUUUUCGGAUCGUAAAACUCUGUUGUUAGAGAAGAACAAGGAUGAGAGUAACUGUUCAUCCCUUGACGGUAUCUAACCAGAAAGCCACGGCUAACUACGUGCCAGCAGCCGCGGUAAUACGUAGGUGGCAAGCGUUGUCCGGAUUUAUUGGGCGUAAAGCGAGCGCAGGCGGUUUCUUAAGUCUGAUGUGAAAGCCCCCGGCUCAACCGGGGAGGGUCAUUGGAAACUGGGAGACUUGAGUGCAGAAGAGGAGAGUGGAAUUCCAUGUGUAGCGGUGAAAUGCGUAGAUAUAUGGAGGAACACCAGUGGCGAAGGCGGCUCUCUGGUCUGUAACUGACGCUGAGGCUCGAAAGCGUGGGGAGCAAACAGGAUUAGAUACCCUGGUAGUCCACGCCGUAAACGAUGAGUGCUAAGUGUUGGAGGGUUUCCGCCCUUCAGUGCUGCAGCUAACGCAUUAAGCACUCCGGCCUGGGGGAGUACGACCGCAAGGUUGAAACUCAAGAAUUGA
rnacentral:rRNA from 1 species